rnacentral:rRNA from 1 species
CGAUGUCGAUUUGAAGGUUGUAGUCUGUUUAAGUUAUGGCUUUCGAAGCUAACGCGUUAAAUCGACCGCCUGGGGAGUACGACCGCAAGGCUAAAACUCAAAUGAAUUGACGGGGGCCCGCACAAGCGGUGGAGCAUGUGGUUUAAUUCGAUGCAACACGAAGAACCUUACCUACUCUUGACAUCCAAAGAACCAUAUAGAGAUAUAUGGGUGCCGUAAGGAGCUUUGAGACAGGUGCUGCAUGGCUGUCGUCGGCUCGUGUUGUGAAAUGUUGGGUUAAGUCCCGCAACGAGCGCAACCCUUAUCCUUUGCUGCCAACGAGUUAAGUCGGGAACUCAAAGGAGACUGCCGGUGAUAAACCGGAGGAAGGUGAGGAUGACGUCAAGUCAUCAUGGCCCUUAUAAGUAGGGCUACAAACGUGCUACAAUGGCGUAUACAAAGAGAAGCAAUCUCGCGAGAGUCAGCAAAUCUCAUAAAGUACGUCUUAGUCCGGAUUGGAGUCUGCAACUCGACUCCAUGAAGCCGGAAUCGCUAGUAAUCGUGGAUCAGAAUGUCACGGUGAAUACGUUCCCGGGCCUUGUACACACCGCCCGUCACACCAUGGAAGUGGGUUGCAAAAGAAGUGGGUUGCUUAACCUUUUUGGAGGAGGGCUCUUACCACUUUGUGAUUCAUGACUGGGGUG